ACAAGCCCAGCGGACUCUGGCGGGAGAGCAGAAGGCUGCUCGGCAAGCCCGCAAGGGAAAGGGUGAGGGGAGAGCUAGAGAAGCCUCAGGGUCUCUCCCAGGGGCCUAACAGAAGCUCGGGAGGCUGCAGGGCUGCGGGGGGUGGGGGGAGAGAGCGAGGAACUGCACCAACACCUGUCAGGUCGCUCGGAGAGCACAGUCCCUGUGAGCAAAGGUGAUUUCUAUUCAGCUGUAGAUUUCAACUGAUCCUUUGAAAGACAACUGACGUGACCAACCAAAUAUGCAGAUGAGUAAACUGAGGAUAGCCCAAAGUUAUAAAGCUAACAGCCAGACUUCAAGUUCAGAAGGCGUACAGUGUUAUCAAACACUCUAGCUUUGGAGACAGAGAGACCUAGGUUCAAAUCCUGACUCUACAGUCUUCUAAGCUUGUGCCUUUGGAUCGUUUGCCACAGAUUUAGUUCUCCAUCUUUGGGAGAGGUCCAAGAAACAAAGAGAACCCAGAGAAUGUCCCCAAAAAAAGAACGGAGAAAGAGCUCUCACAUGAUGGUGACCAGCGCACAUCAGGCGCCUUCAGGAAAAGAAGGUGAAGGGCUCCUUGGCCGAGUCAAGCCUUGUGUAGUCACCGGCUGGGCGUGCCGUGGAGUACAGAUGAAAGCCCUUCCCCCUGCUAAAAGAAAUUGCUUUCAUGUUCAAUUUUUUUUUUAAUA